rnacentral:rRNA from 1 species
GAUGAACGCUGGCGGCGUGCCUAAUACAUGCAAGUCGAGCGAACAGACGAGGAGCUUGCUCCUCUGACGUUAGCGGCGGACGGGUGAGUAACACGUGUAUAACCUACCUAUAAGACUGGGAUAACUUCGGGAAACCGGAGCUAAUACCGGAUAAUAUAUUGAAUCGCAUGGUUCAAUAGUGAAAGACGGUUUUGCUGUCACUUAUAGAUGGAUCCGCGCCGCAUUAGCUAGUUGGUAAGGUAACGGCUUACCAAGGCAACGAUGCGUAGCCGACCUGAGAGGGUGAUCGGCGACACUGGAACUGAGACACGGUCCAGACUCCUACGGGAGGCAGCAGUAGGGAAUCUUACGCAAUGGGCGAAAGCCUGACGGAGCAACGCCGCGUGAGUGAUGAAGGUCUUCGGAUCGUAAAACUCUGUUAUUAGGGAAGAACAAAUGUGUAAGUAACUAUGCACGUCUUGACGGUACCUAAUCAGAAAGCCACGGCUAACUACGUG